rnacentral:misc_RNA from 1 species
AACAUCGCGCACCUGCGGGAACCUGCGGAAGGAUCAUUACAGAGUUGCAAAACUCCCUAAACCAUUGUGAACGUUACCUAAACCGUUGCUUCGGCGGGCGGCCCGGGUCCUUCCCGGCGCCCCUCGGCCCUCGCGGGCGCCCGCCGGAGGUAAACCAAACUAUUGCAUUGUAUGGCCUCUCUGAGUCUUCUGUACUGAAUAAGUCGAAACUUUUAACAACGGAUCUCAGAUCGGAAGAGC